rnacentral:rRNA from 1 species
UACGGAGGGUGCAAGCGUUAUCCGGAUUCACUGGGUUUAAAGGGUGUGUAGGCGGGUAUUUAAGUCAGUGGUGAAAUCUCCGAGCUCAACUCGGAAACUGCCAUUGAUACUAUUUAUCUUGAAUAUUGUUGAGGUAGGCGGAAUAUGUCAUGUAGCGGUGAAAUGCUUAGAUAUGACAUAGAACACCGAUUGCGAAGGCAGCUUGCUAAACAUUAUUGACGCUGAGGCACGAAAGCGUGGGGAUCAAACAGG